GGAGGGUGCAAGCGUUAAUCGGAAUUACUGGGCGUAAAGCGCGCGUAGGCGGUUUAGUCAGUCGGAUGUGAAACGCCCAGGGCUCAACCUUGGAAUUGCAUUCGAUACUGCUUGACUAGAGUAUGGUAGAGGGAAGUGGAAUUUCCGGUGUAGCGGUGAAAUGCGUAGAUAUCGGAAGGAACACCAGUGGCGAAGGCGACUUCCUGGGCCAAUACUGACGCUGAGGUGCGAAGGCGUGGGGAGCAAACAGGGAUUAGAUACCCUGGUAGUCCACGCCGUAAACGAUGAGAACUAGAUGUUGGGAGGGUUACCUCUCGGUGCCGCAGCUAACGCAUUAAGUUCUCCGCCUGGGGAGUACGCCGGCAACGGUA
rnacentral:rRNA from 1 species